UACAGAGGUCUCAAGCGUUGUUCGGAUUCAUUGGGCGUAAAGGGUGCGUAGGCGGCGUGGUAAGUCGGGUGUGAAAUCUCGGAGCUUAACUCCGAAACUGCAUUCGAUACUGCCGUGCUUGAGGACUGGAGAGGAGACUGGAAUUUACGGUGUAGCGGUGAAAUGCGUAGAUAUCGUAAGGAAGACCAGUGGCGGAAGGCGGGUCUCUGGACAGUUCCUGACGCUGAGGCACGAAGGCCAGGGGAGCAAACGGG
rnacentral:rRNA from 1 species